AAAGGAUUGGAAGGACCGGGAGGCUCCAGCGGGACGGAUCCAGCUCAGGCUCCGGCUCGGGGAGGAUUUAUCCCGGGAAUUGCGGAUCCUGCUGGCGGGGAAGCGCCAGGAUCCGGCCGGGAUCGAUGCCGGGAUCGAUGGAGCAUCCGCCCGGAACCGAGGGCGCCUGGAGGGCACCGGGAAGGGCGGCAAGGUCGGAGCCUUGGGAUGAUCCCAAGGGAUGAUCCCGGGAAAAGAUGGGAUUGUCCCUCCUGGAAUUGCUUUCCUGCAGUGGGAACCUCUCCUGGGUCACCCCACCUGGGAAUUUUCCCUGUGGAUGCGACGCCAAGUGAGACGGAAAUUCAGGAGAAGAAUCCGCUGAAAACCAGGAGAUCGAUCCACAAAAAAAUGGGAGAAGAAUCUCCAAAAACUGGGGAGAAAAAUCCCAAAAACCCCGAGAUGAAUCCACAAAAAAACCCCAGAUUAAUCCACAAAAAAUUGGGAGAAGAAUCUCCAAAAACCGGGAGAAAAAUCCCAAAAAAAGGAGAUGAAUACACAAAAAAAUCCAGAUCAAUCCACAAAAAAAUGGGAGAAAAUUUUCCAAAAUCCCAGGAGAAGAAUUCCCAAAAAAAACAGGAGAAGAAUCCCCCAAAACUGGGAGGAAAAAUCCCCCCAAAAAAACGAGAUGAAUCCACAAAAAUAAAACCCCAAUCAAUCCACCAAAAAAUGGGAGAAUAAUCCCCAAAAACUGCGAGGAAAAAUCCCAAAAAAAUGAGAUGAAUCCCCAAAAAACCAAGAGAAGAAUCCCCAAAAUCUGUGCGGAAAAAUCCCCAAAAAACCAGAUGAAUCCACAAAAACCCAGGAGAUCAAUCCCCAAAAACCAGGACAAGAAUUUCCAAAAUCCCAGGAGAAGAAUCCAGAAAAACCAGGAGAAGAAUCCCCAAAAUCCCAGGGAAGCUCCGGAACCAGAGAUUCCCGGGACACCGAGAAUUCCCAAUUUCUGCAGCUCCAGAAAAAGCCCCAAAAUUGGGAAUCCUCAGGGAAAACAACCCCAGGAUUGGGGUCGGGAUUGGGAUCCGGCCCCUUCCCGCUCCGGGUCCCUCUCCCAGCGGGAAUUGUGGCCAAUCCCAAAUUUAUCCAGGGAAAAGGUCACUCCCGUUUGGAGCGCUGAGCUCAGCCCGGCCCGGCCCAGAUUUAUCCCAGGCCUCCAAAAUAAUCCUGGGAUUGGGAUGGAUCCAAGGGA
rnacentral:lncRNA from 1 species